rnacentral:misc_RNA from 1 species
UUUCCGUAGGUGAACCUGCGGAAGGAUCAUUACUGAGUGAGGGCCCCUCGGGGUCCAACCUCCCACCCGUGUUUAACGAACCUUGUUGCUUCGGCGGGCCCGCCUCACGGCCGCCGGGGGGCAUCUGCCCCCGGGCCCGCGCCCGCCGAAGCCACCUGUGAACGCUGUCUGAAGUAUGCAGUCUGAGACAAUUAUUAAAUUAAUUGAAACUUUCAACAACGGAUCUCUUGGUUCCG